rnacentral:rRNA from 1 species
AGUGAACGCUGGCGGUAGGCCUAACACAUGCAAGUCGAACGGCAGCACAGUAAGAGCUUGCUCUUACGGGUGGCGAGUGGCGGACGGGUGAGGAAUACAUCGGAAUCUACUUUUUCGUGGGGGAUAACGUAGGGAAACUUACGCUAAUACCGCAUACGACCUACGGGUGAAAGCAGGGGAUCUUCGGACCUUGCGCGAUUGAAUGAGCCGAUGUCGGAUUAGCUAGUUGGCGGGGUAAAGGCCCACCAAGGCGACGAUCCGUAGCUGGUCUGAGAGGAUGAUCAGACACACUGGAACUGAGACACGGUCCAGACUCCUACGGGAGGCAGCAGUGGGGAAUAUUGGACAAUGGGCGCAAGCCUGGUCCAGCCAUACCGCGUGGGUGAAGAAGGCCUUCGGGUUGUAAAGCCCUUUUGUUGGGAAAGAAAAGCAGCAGGUUAAUACCCCGCUGUUCUGACGGUACCCAAAGAAUAAGCACCGGCUAACUUCGUG